rnacentral:lncRNA from 1 species
UACGAUGUCGCCUCGGCCCUCUAGGCGGAAACGAAGGCUAAACAUCCGUUUCUUUAAUAUCUUUACAACGGCUCGACGAAUCGUCGAACCGACUUCACCAACGCGUUCGUUUACCUAGCAAUUAGGUUUACGAAGGGUCAAAUUAGAUCAAACUCCCAUAUUUUAUAAAACUCCAUUUUUGAGCCCUAAAUUACAACUAGGUAAAAAUCCACCAUUAAUCCUCUAGAUUCCAGCAUUUAUCCUCUAUUUAGCAUGCUAGGAUUCCAAAUAAAUCAUUUUUAGAGCAUAUAAAUGAAGCUCUAAAGAUCUACCAUGAGAGGGUAUCAAAGCUUACCUCUCAAACAAGCUCCAAUGGAGAGGAAGAAGACGAUAAAGAUGAAAAUCCACCUUUAAGCUUCAAUCUCCACCAAAACCACCUCUUUUGGGAGAGAUUUAGAGAGAGAAAGGGAGGUCUCUCCCUCCCUCCAUGCAUGCAUGUGUGUGUGUGGCGCAUGUGUGUGUGUGGCUGCACAGUUGGGGGAGAAGAAGAGCAAUGCUCUUUUAUACAUUAACACCCAAAAUACUAUUCACUCCAGGCAGCUCGAAAUCUGAUAUCUUUCGCCGGAGCUCCCUAAAUAUCCGUUUGAGCUCAAAUUUGACAGUCAUAUUUGGUUUUACUUAACGAGUCCAAAGAAAUUUUAAUAUUCAGUUUCGAUCCCGUUUGGUUACCGAAAACUGUACCGAACUGUAAUCUUUAUCGGAUAGCUGUCGGAUUUUAUUUUCCACCUUCCGGAUGUCAGAAUGCUAUGAAACUUUAAAUCUAGCCUCAUAAAAAUAAUUCUGACUUAUCCUCCAGUUUUCAUAAUUUUCUGACACUGUGUAUUUUCUGCUAAUUUAUCUGUCCCGUUUCCAACAGAAAAUUCUAAAUCUUCUGUUUUCAUUCCAAUUUCAGCACAAAUCACUUUUGACUUAUGUUUUACUUCUCUAAAUUCAAUAAAAAUAGUUUCUCACACUAUUUUUAUUUAUUUUUAUUUUUAUACCAAAAUCUGGUAUGUUACACCCACACAUUCUCCUUCAAGUCAAGAUCUGACUUAUGUUUUACUUCUCUAAAUUCAAUAAAAAUAGUUUCUCACACUAUUUUUAUUUAUUUUUAUUUUUAUACCAAAAUCUGGUAUGUUACACCCACACAUUCUCCUUC